CUGUGCAUUUAACAGGUGUGUGUGUGUGUGUGUGUGUGCAUGCACAUGUGCACACACAUGUGCACACGUAUGCACAUGUAUGUGUAGGUCAGAGUUGCAUAUCAGGUGUCUUCUUCAGUUGCUCUUUAUCUUAUUUUCUGAGACGGGGUCUCUUGAGGAACAGUAAACCAUGCCAGGAAGCUUGGUGGGUAGAGCAGGUUUGAGACCCUAGACAUUCACUGGGUUCACAUCUAAGAUGGUAGGUGCCUCCCUGCCAAAUUUCUGACCUGGAACACGUGACACACUUCCCACAUAGGAAACAUGUCCUAUGGUCAUGUGGGCCCCGAACAGAGUUCUCCAUAAUAGUGAGACACCUAGAGAACUUGAGGGUAAACCAAUGAGCUUCCCUUCCCUGACUUUCCCCCUGCAAAAGGUAUUUAGUCUCAGGUCCACCCCGAGAAGUUGGUAUGGAACGCAUCCAUUUUCCACUAUGAACAACCAAUAAAUAGUUUGGAAUCAAGGACUGUCUCUUUCAUCAAGAACCACCGUGAGGAGGAUGGAGCAGGCCUUUGCCCACGGAGCCACUGCCUAAGUCUCCCUUAGAAGGUCUCUCUGUGCUCCCUCCCAGCCACAGCUGCAGCCAAGCUAGCCAAGCUAACGACCUUCAGAUGAGCAAAGCCAGGGCUUCCCAUCACUCCCCAGGCCCAGCCUAGUCAUGGUCCUCAGCCUACAGGCUCCCAACUCUGCUCUCGACUCCUCGGAGACUCAGCAGUGCCUGAAGGUCCAGGAAUUUGGGAGCACCGGGUCCUAGCCUCGUCAAGGGCCUGUGAACUCCCAACACUUCGUUCACUCCUUCCGUUCUCCAGCAGCGGCUUUCCCACAUCUCUGACUGCAUUUUCCCACCCCUGGAGUGCUGUCUCAAUGCUUCCCUAAAGCCCAGCACCUGCCCAGUGGCGGCGUGAGCAGUCAAACUCCCUCCAGCAAGGCUGCACCUGCUAAACCUCCGCAAACUGGACCACAGCUGAGGAGGGAGUAUUCAAAUGCAUGGACCCGUGGGGAACAUUCCUCAUUCAAACCGCUACAGAUGACUGAGGCAGGCUUCAGAACAAAGCCUGCGGUGGUCGGACACAUGUGCUCAUGUGCACCUUGCUGAGUGUUCUCCCUAGACGGACCAGAAUUGUAACCGGAAGCUGACUCAGUACGUUCUGAAGGCACGGUUCUAUCCACAGACGCCAAACAAGUGGCCAGAAUUACCACUCUACCCUGCUCUUGGCCUCCAGCAAGAAUGUACAACUUUCCCCUGAAGAAGCAUGUAUGUUUGGUCACCACUGACGUAAAUCUGGUCUGCACCUAUAGCUUGAUUCAUUGAGAUCCUUUCCUGUCCAAUUGCAUGAUCACCCCGGACGUAAAAAGACACUUUUUCAUCACCGGACCCCUAAAUAGAUGACCCGCCGAUCACAAGGCUUCAUGUAAAUCUUCUUGAUUGCUUUUUUCCCCCCCUUGCUUAUCACUUUCCCUAAAAACCCUGUCAGUUAGUGUAUUUAAAUUCCUUUCUCAUCUCCUCAUUGAGCCGCUAUUUAAAAU
rnacentral:lncRNA from 1 species